rnacentral:lncRNA from 1 species
GAAAUGGGACUUCUCACAUGCUCUCCACAGUGGAACCACAGGACAAGGCUCAUCCCAGUAGGAUCCAUGAUGCUUUAUGAAGACAGUCCCAACAGCCCAUCUCUGUCAUCCUCCAGACGUGCCAAGGCUGAAUCAUGGAGCAAACACAGCACAGGCUCAAGCUGAGAACCUGCCAUGUGACCUCCUAGUUCUAUGAAAUACCCUUCAACAAUGCAGAAUUGACAAACCCUCCCAGAACCUGAUAUAGGAGACUUUGGAAACACAUUAGUGCAUUCGGAAGCCCUGCAGUAGUCUGCCGCACGACUUAUUCCAGCUUAUCCCUACAUUAUGGAAUGCUUUUAUCACUGAAUACCUUCAGAACGCAUUUUGGGAAAACUUCUAUAUAUUCG